rnacentral:lncRNA from 1 species
UUUUUUCAGUGUCCCCACGCCCACCCAGAGCAGUAUGGGGAGUGAGGGGACAGGACAGAGGCCGGAAAAGUCAGCCUCCUCUGGUGUCGUUUUAAGAAAAAACUGGGAGGCUCCGAUCUGCAGCCAGCGUCCCCAGGAUCUGCUGCGGCCGCAGAUUUCGUCGGACUCGCGUCGGAGCUGGGGACAUACCGGGUCGGGAGCUGCGUCUCCCCUUGAUGUGCUCCGAGGUCCGCCUUUGUGCCGCGAGCCUGGGGAGGGCAGGGGGCCGGUUCUCCCGAAGCGGCGGGGGCGGCGGCGGGGGCGGGGCGGGGGGCGGCGGUUUGCCGGCAGUCUUCUGGGCCUGGCAGGAGGAGAUAGGAUCGGAGAUCCCGGGCCGAUCGCGGCCUCACCAGGUUGGGGAGAAGCAGAUGUCCAGCGCCGGGUCGCCUGGUCACGCGGAGAAGCUUCCCGCUGCGGGGCGGCCGCUCUGUGGGUGGAGAAGCCGAGCGGCGUUGCGCGCUGGGCCCAAGGCCCGCACCUCGGGAGCGGACACUUGGAAAUGUGCCUUCCCCCUUUGCCCCGCCUGGGCGCUCCCCCAACCCAGAAAACAGGCAGGCGGGAGGAAGGGGGUGUUGUCCCACAUCCGGCGGGGCCUGUUGGUCUUCAAGCACGCCUUAGAGCUUUCAGAAAGGGCUUGUGCGAUUUUUGUAAGAUUUAGGAUUCCCUCCGCCCUGAGCAAAUUAACUUUAUGCAGGUUCCACCCAGAUUCUCCCUUCCUCCACGCCGUGCCUUUGGGUGGUGCCUACGCUCGAGGGGAGCUCUUUUGUGGAAUUAUGUUGAGGUUUGGGUUGGCUUUGUGUAGCUGGAUACCCUCUAAUGACUUCUUCCUUUCCUCCUCUUCUCCUGCAGGCCUCCCCUUUAAUCACUGGAGGAGGGCAGCAGGCCAUCGCUCAGGAAUCGUCCUGCUUCCUUAGACCAGCCUCACCUGCGGCCUGGAGACCAGUGUCCACAGAAAGAAGAUUUGGUUAUAAUGCGCAGUGCUCCUUUUUUCUCUUUCCCCAACACGGAGUUCCACAUCAUGUUCCUGAGCUCUUCCGGGUCUGCAUGCACGCUUCAGGAGGCUCCGUGGCUGGGGUGGGAUCCGACCGCAUGCACGCGGCUCCCUGCACACGCGCGCACACUUACAGUGACUGUCUGCAGGAAGAGGGGCCUGCGCGUCGGCUCUGCGUUAAACACGGGAAGCUGCCCAGGCUACCAAAGUCAAAUGUAAGUGGCAGUUCCCCUCUCCAGCGAGGCGGACUUCCAGAAGUCCCUUUGUAUCUCGGCAGCUCAUUUAAUGUUAUUUAUGCAUUUUGUGCAAGGAAUUGUGGGAUUUUUCCCCCCCACGGUAAACAAUAUGGAAAUGUUAAAAAAAAAAAAAAAAGCACCCUUCCAGCGGUUGUCCCCGUCCGCGUCUGGGCGACCCGGCGAGGCUGUCGCGCGCGUUUCUCAGAGCGCCGAGAAGCCGCGGGGAAAACGCGCGCGCGCACGCGCGCGGGCAGAGGACGCGGCGGCGGUCUCGCGGGUCCAGGCUCCGUACCCGGAGCGCAGGGACGCGGCCCCUUUAAGGGGGGGCGGGGCGGCAGGAGGCUGCUGUCACCGAGCCGGUCACGUGGGCGCGCGGCGCUACGACCAUUGGACCGAGGCACGUGUCCAGGAGACCGGCCCGCGACGUCACUCGAGGGGGCUCGGUUAAAAAUAAGAACAAAAAUCCAGAGUCCGAGUGUCUCGGGUUGCGCCGAGUGGCCUGGAAAUUUCCUGGCCGCGCGGAGGCCGAGGUGCGAGGGCGCGC